rnacentral:rRNA from 1 species
AACGAACGCUGGCGGCAUGCCUAACACAUGCAAGUCGAACGAGAUCUUCGGGUCUAGUGGCGCACGGGUGCGUAACGCGUGGGAAUCUGCCCUUUGGUUCGGAAUAACAGUUGGAAACGACUGCUAAUACCGGAUGAUGACGAAAGUCCAAAGAUUUAUCGCCAGAGGAUGAGCCCGCGUAGGAUUAGCUAGUUGGUGUGGUAAAGGCGCACCAAGGCGACGAUCCUCAGCUGGUCUGAGAGGAUGAUCAGCCACACUGGGACUGAGACACGGACCAGACUCCUACCGGAGGGAGCAGUGUGUAAUAGUUGACAAUGGGGGAAAGCCUGAUCCAGCAUUGCCGCGUGAGUGAUGAAGGCCUGAGGGUUGUAAAGCUCUUUUACCCGGGAUGAUAAUGACAGUACCGGGAGAAUAAGCUCCGGCUAACUCCGUGCCAGCCGCCGCCGUAA